CGUUCCCGGGCCUUGUACACACCGCCCGUCACACCACGAAAGUCGGCAACACCCGAAGCCGGUGGCCUAACCCGCAAGGGAGGGAGCCGUCGAAGGUGGGGUCGAUGAUUGGGGUG
rnacentral:rRNA from 1 species